AGAGUGGAGCUUGCUCCUGAUUCAGCGGCGGACGGGNNNNUAAUGCCUAGGNNNCUGCCUGAUAGUGGGGGACAACGUUUCGAAAGGAACGCUAAUACCGCAUACGUCCUACGGGAGAAAGCAGGGGACCUUCGGGCCUUGCGCUAUCAGAUGAGCCUAGGUCGGAUUAGCUAGUAGGUGAGGUAAUGGCUCACCUAGGCGACGAUCCGUAACUGGUCUGAGAGGAUGAUCAGUCACACUGGAACUGAGACACGGUCCAGACUCCUACGGGAGGCAGCAGUGGGGAAUAUUGGACAAUGGGCGAAAGCCUGAUCCAGCCAUGCCGCGUGUGUGAAGAAGGUCUUCGGAUUGUAAAGCACUUUAAGUUGGGAGGAAGGGCAGUAAGUUAAUACCUUGCUGUUUUGACGUUACCAACAGAAUAAGCACCGGCUAACUUCGUGCCAGCAGCCGCGGUAAUACGAAGGGUGCAAGCGUUAAUCGGAAUUACUGGGCGUAAAGCGCGCGUAGGUGGUUCAGCAAGUUGGAGGUGAAAUCCCCGGGCUCAACCUGGGAACUGCCUCCAAAACUACUGAGCUAGAGUACGGUAGAGGGUAGUGGAAUUUCCUGUGUAGCGGUGAAAUGCGUAGAUAUAGGAAGGAACACCAGUGGCGAAGGCGACUACCUGGACUGAUACUGACACUGAGGUGCGAAAGCGUGGGGAGCAAACAGGAUUAGAUACNNUGGUAGUCCNNNNNNUAAACGAUGUCGACUAGCCGUUGGGAUCCUUGAGANNNNNNUGGCGCAGCUAACGCAUUAAGUCG
rnacentral:rRNA from 1 species